rnacentral:rRNA from 1 species
CGGAGGGUGCAAGCGUUAUCCGGAUUCACUGGGUUUAAAGGGUGCGUAGGUGGAUUAGUAAGUCAGUGGUGAAAUCUCUGGGCUUAACUCAGAAACUGCCAUUGAUACUAUUAAUUUUGAAUACCGUGGAGGUCAGCGGAAUAUGUCAUGUAGCGGUGAAAUGCUUAGAUAUGACAUAGAACACCAAUUGCGAAGGCAGCUGGCUACACGAAUAUUGACACUGAGGCACGAAAGCGUGGGGAUCAAACAGGAUUAGAUACCCUGGUAGUCCACGCCCUAAACGAUGGAUACUCGACAUUUGCGAUAAACUGCAAGUGUCUGAGCGAAAGCAUUAAGUAUCCCACCUGGGAAGUACGAUCGCAAGAUUG